rnacentral:rRNA from 1 species
AACGAACGCUGGCGGCAGGCCUACCACUGGCAAGUCGAGGGAACCCUUCGGGGGAGGGGGCGAAGGGGGGGUUAACGGGUGGGAAGGUGCCCUUUUUUGGGGAAUGGCCUGGGGAAAUGGAGAGUAAACCGGAAAAGGCCCUUGGGGGGAAAGAUUUAUCGGAGAAGGAUCGGCCCGCGUUGGAUUAGGUAGUUGGUGGGGUAAUGGCCAACCAAGCCGACGAUCCAUAGCUGGUUUGAGAGGAUGAUCAGCCACACUGGGACUGAGACACGGCCCAGACUCCUACGGGAGGCAGCAGUGGGGAAUCUUAGACAAUGGGGGCAACCCUGAUCUAGCCAUGCCGCGUGAGUGAUGAAGGCCUUAGGGUUGUAAAGCUCUUUCAGCUGGGAAGAUAAUGACGGUACCAGCAGAAGAAGCCCCGGCUAACUCCGUG